GUUUUGCAUUAGGGAUAGCAGAGGAGCUCUUUUUGGUUGGGCUUUUUUUGCCCGACCAAAAAAGCGGGAACGGAUAGCCCGACCCGCU
rnacentral:sRNA from 1 species